rnacentral:lncRNA from 1 species
GGAGUCCAUGAUUUGUGGCAAACUUUUCCAUUAAGUCUAGGAUUUUAGCCAUGCCUCUUAGGAGUUCUCCACUCGCUUCUUAAUCCCAAGAGAUUCCACGCAUUUUGUGAAGGGGUAUGCACCAAGAGUUGUGUGCUAAUCCCUCACGCCUCUUCAUUCCAAUUUAAGUGAAAGAGUUUUAGGUUUUAAGGAAUCUCUUUUGGAAACAAACCUUCUAUGCCUCUUGGUCCAUUCGUGAAAGUGUUCACGCUAAAACAAAAUCAUGCCCCAUAUCUCGACAUGAAGAAGGUUUCAUGCCCCA